rnacentral:rRNA from 1 species
UAAACUACGAUUAGAUACCCUAUUAUUUUAAAUGUAAAUUUUAUGUAGGCUUGAGUAGUAGCAGUUAAAAUCUUGAAACUCAAAGAAUUUGGCGGUACUUAAGUCAUCUCAGAGGAAUCUGUCCCGUGAUUAAUAGUUCAUGAUUGAGUGUACUUUAGUUAUUAGUUUGUAUAUCGCCGUUAGCAGGAUAUUUUUUGAGAAAAUAAAAAUUCGGGAAUUUAAUUGAAAAAUUUAGUUCAGGUCAAGGUGCAGCUUAUGUUAAAGUGGAGAUGGAUUACAAUUAUUUUUAAGUUAAUAAUGGAUUUUGAUUUUGAUUGAUUAAAUGAAGGUGGAUUUGUUAGUAAAGUUGUGUUAAAUAAAUAAUUUGAUUUUGCUCUUAGGUAUGUACACAUCGCCCGUCGCUCUUA